GGUGCUGUGGCUCAAGUGCUAGAGCACUAGCCUUGCAUGCAUGAGACCCGGGUUCAAUUCCUCAGCACCA
rnacentral:tRNA from 1 species